ACUGAACGCUGGCGGCAUGCCUUACACAUGCAAGUCGAACGGCAGCACGGGGCAACCUGGUGGCGAGUGGCGAACGGGUGAGUAAUGCAUCGGAACGUACCUUUCAGUGGGGGAUAACGCAGCGAAAGUUACGCUAAUACCGCAUAUUCUGUGAGCAGGAAAGCAGGGGAUCGCAAGACCUUGCGCUGAUUGAGCGGCCGAUGUCAGAGUAGCUAGUUGGUGAGGUAAAGGCUCACCAAGGCGACGAUCUGUAGCGGGUCUGAGAGGAUGAUCCGCCACACUGGAACUGAGACACGGUCCAGACUCCUACGGGAGGCAGCAGUGGGGAAUUUUGGACAAUGGGGGCAACCCUGAUCCAGCCAUGCCGCGUGAGUGAAGAAGGCCUUCGGGUUGUAAAGCUCUUUCGGCCGGGAAGAAAUCGCACGGGCUAAUACCCUGUGUGGAUGACGGUACCGGAAUAAGAAGCACCGGCUAACUACGUGCCAGCAGCCGCGGUAAUAC
rnacentral:rRNA from 1 species